AUAGUGGUUUAAUAUAUUAGUUAAUGUAAUAUAGUUAUUAUUUUCAAAUUAAAUGGUAGUGAAAUGCUAAUUGAUUUUUAUGGUAACUAGUUUAUUGGUAUUCAUUUGAGUGCAAAUUAAAAUAAAUUAUUUAGAGUAAUUUAUUUUGAGAUUUAGGGAUUUAUGUUUAUAGUUUAAUAGGUUUGAGUUGGAUUAAUAAUUUUUCUUUUAGAUAAAUUAGUAUAUUAUUUGUGUGGAAAAUGAUCUUUAUUAAAUAAAUUGUUUUGAUUUAAAGAAAAUGAUGUAUAAUGUUAGAAAGAGUAUUUAAUUUUGAAUAAGAUGAAAAUUUUGAAUAUAUUGUGAUAAGUAAGCUUGCUUCUCAACCACAUGGUUAGUCUGGGUUUAGUUCUACUGUGUGGAACCUUUUAGUACAAGUGUUUUCUACUACACUUCGCCUCAGGCCGACUAAAGACUUGAGAGUGGAUUUGGCAGAUGGAAACUGAACGAAGCCCGUCAUAUAUAUAUACGUAUAUGUGUGUGUACACUCUGUUGAGUGUUGGCGUUAGGAAGGGCAUCCAGCCGUAGAAAGCAUGCCAAACUAGAUAGUAGAGCUUGGCACAGCCUUCUGUCAAACUAACUCAUGCCAGUAAGAACAAUGGAUGUUAAAUGAUGAAGAUAUAUAUAUAUAAAAUGUAAUUUGAGAGUUAUGAAUUAAAAUAAAAUAAAGGAAUUUGGCAAAAAUUAAUUUUGUCUGUUUUAUCAAAAAUAUGUCUCUUUGAGUUUAUUUCAUAGAGAGUUGGGCCUGCUCGGUGAGAAGAAAAAUUUAACAGCUGCGGUAUUAUAACUGUACUAAGGUAGCAUAAUAAUUUGCCUUAUAAAUUAAGGCUAGAAUGAAUGGUUUGACGAAAAUUAGACUGUCUUUAUUUUAUUUGUUAGAAAUUAAUUUUUAUAGUGAAAAAGCUUGAAUAAUUUAAGGGGACGAGAAGACCCUAUUGAGCUUUAUUUAUUAAUAUUUAAAUAUAAAUAUAUAAUUUAUAUUAUGAAAAUUAUGUUGUAUAUAUAUAUAUAUUUAAUUGGAUUUAAUUUUGAUUGGGGUGAUCAAGGAAUAAAGAUAAAGUAACUUCCUUAAAAUUAAUGAUUGUUUUUAUAGAGUAAUAAACCAAGUUUUUUGCUUAUAAGAUAAGUUACCAUAGGGGUAACAGCGUAAUUUUUUUUGAGAGUUCAUAUUGAAAAAAGAGAUUGCGACCUCGAUGUUGGAUUAAAAAUUACCUUAAGGUGUAGAGGCUUUGUUAGGUGAAUCUGUUCGAUUUUUAAAAUUUUACAUGAUCUGAGUUCAAACCGGUGAAAGCCAGGUUGGUUUUUAUCUUUUAAAUUUUAUUUUAAAUUUAAUUUAGUACGAAAGGAUUGAUUAUAAUUAAUUAUAAAAUUAAAUAAAAUAAUUAUGUUUA
rnacentral:rRNA from 1 species